rnacentral:misc_RNA from 1 species
UUUGACUACUAGCUUGAUGUGAGUCGGCUCUUUGAGUGACAAUUAAAAUUUUAAUUCAUAACCGUUUCCAAGUGAAAUUUCUAGUUUGUCUAUUAAUUAUUGUCGAUUUUUUCCGGUUGCCCUAAUGGCGAAUAUUUUCGCAUUUAUAGAUUUUAUUCUAUGUUUGAAAUUAGCGUAUGCUCCAAGUUAUCCACAGAUGUUAGCAACUUUUCCUUGUUUGGUUCAGAUUGCAGACCGGAAUGGAUCUCACUUAUGUGGCGGUGCAUUGCUCCAGAGUAACGCUGUGCUUUCGUCCGCGGGGUGCCUUCAACCGUAUGCUUUAGGAAGAAAGCUAAAAACGCUAGUAGUUCAAGCAGGUUGCCCUCAUUCACCGUCCUACCAGGAGAAACGUGUUCGACUAGUCCACAUUCACGACAAGUACAAUAGCGUCCUCAAGAAGAACGAACUUGCAGUAAUUAUAUUGACUUCCAAUGUCAAAAACACUUUGCAUAGUAGACCAAUUGCAUUUCCGCCGCGGCCUGCAAUCGCUGGAGAGAACUGCUUUUAUCCAACAUACGAUUUUUCUUCCAAUGGUUAUAAGAAAACGAAAUUUAUGUAAACAUCCUGAACUUGAGAACAAGAUCUGUGUUGACAGCAGAAAAGCUGUAUUUGGGACUUGCAAAGGAGACAACGGUGGCCCGCUUAUUUGUAAAAACUUA